GGCAAGUCAAGGAGGGAGUAUAGUAGCAUGUGAGUAAAUUUUUCUCACCCAAUCUAUCCAAAAUCUUAGAUUAAGAUAUUACCAAGAUUGUAAGCAAACUAAAGGAAAUAAAAAAAAAGUAAUUCUCUCUAUCAUCUCUUACACUUUACACCCGGGUAUUGGAGAGGAAAAGAGAGAGACAACUGAUCAUGGCCUAAGGAAGAAAAAGAAAUUAGUUUCCAAGCUCUUAAGAAACUCCUACACAACACCAUCUUCAUCUUCUCCACCAAAACCUCCAAGAAAUCCUAGAGAGAGAAAAUAAGAAAGAGAGAUAGAAGCAAGAGGGCUUAGGCAGCCACAUAGAGGGAGAAGAAGAAGGGAAGUUUGGUGUAUUUUCAAGUUCCAUAUUCUACCUUGAAAGAAGGAGAAGAGGUGGAUCUAAGAAAUCAAGGUAUAAACAACCUACCUUUAACCUUUUGUUUUAUUAUUUUGGUUGAUUUACAAAAUAUAAAGCUAUGUUUCUUGAACUUCAAAACUUUAGAUCUACAUGUUUUAUGGUUUGAUAUGUGUAGAUCUAAACAUUUUAGGUGUUAAAAGUUUGAUCCAAAGAAAGAAAAGUAAAACAGUUUUUAAAGCUUAGAAAAGCUAGUGACUGCUGCCCCAAAACAGAAAUUUUGGGGUUAGCUAGAGUGUUCUUAAAAUUAUGGGCUUUUGGUAUGUUAUAGUACAUUGAAUAAUCUUUCCAUAUACUCCGGAACGGACUAAUUCCGACUUCGGAGCAAAGAGUUAUGCUAUUUUAAAGUAGCUGAGUCAAAACUGGAAAACAUAUGCGGUUCAGUCCCUUUGCACGAAUUUUUGGGCUGAUAUGUUUAGAAUCUGGAAAAUAUCAGCAGGGGAAGUUGUAGAGGAGGAAGUUACGAAGGCGUGGAUUCUAGAAUCACUUAAAAAUGUUGAGAAACGAAGGAGUUAUGACCAUUUUAGUGAAGGAGGAUCGUGCAGUUUAAAAACAGAACAUUCUAUCCAGUUAGAGCAGAUUUCUGUACUGUUCGGUUUGGGAUUUGGAUUUGUUAUCUGAAGAGUAGUUGUAGUCCCGGAAGUUAGCUUCGUGUGGGCUCAAGGAUCGCCUAAAAAUGUUUAAAAACGAAAAAGUUAUGACUAUUUUAGUGCAAGAGGGCAAGCUGGAAAAUAUUUGAAAACUGUUGCGAGUGAACAUUUUUGGGGCCUGGUUUAGGCUGCCUAGGAGGUCCAAAAUGGGUGGGUUAUAUUUUUUAAAAAUAGCCUACUAUGGUACCUAUAACAUAUCCAAAGUUGGGAAUUUUCCGAUAAACGAACAAGGCGUGAGAAAAUCGCGAAGUAGAUAGUUUGAUAAGCGCACACAAGGCCAACAGCAGCAGCCAGGCAGCGCUCGCGCGCGCCUGCAUAGCCGUGUUGUGCUAUUGUUUGACGUCUUUUUCGCGCACUAUUUUGAUGAAUUUCCGUGAUCCGUUUUCGCGAUGUGAAAUUUUUCUUAAAUACUAUAACAUGCCCAAAAUUUCACUGUUAUAUGACUCAUGAUUUGAGAAUUAAAAAUGAGCAAAGGAGCAUGUCAGAACUUAAAAACGAGCGAACGCCGAGCGUUGACACGUCGAUCGAUUUUGACAUUCGACAUUCCGAAUCGCGUUCCGGCAAAAUAAUAAGUCAUAAUAAAUCUAAUAAAGUCCCAUGGGGCGAGAUUUGACAAUUAAUGGUAUUUUACGUCGAGAAACUUCUUUUCAGGCAUAAAUAAAGUAAUAAAAAUAUAUAAUAAAUAUAAAUUACAUAUUUAAGUGAAAUAAAAACUACAAUUGCCUAUAAAAUUAUAUUAUGGUAUAAGAAAAUAUUUUAUGUUAUUUUUAAUGACUUUCGAUAUUUUGUAAUGAGAUUCAUUAAUAAAUUAAUAUUAAUGGNNNNNNNNNNNNNNNNNNNNNNNNNNNNNNNNNNNNNNNNNNNNNNNNNNNNNNNNNNNNNNNNNNNNNNNNNNNNNNNNNNNNNNNNNNNNNNNNNNNNGAAAUAUUAUAGUAAAUUGAGUUUUACUAUUAAAGCUAUAUGCAUUAGCUGUUUAAACUCCGAAUUUGCGAGUAAAUGUAAAAGAUAUUUUCGAAAUGAAAUUUAAAUAAUUUAAGCUUCAAGAUGUAAAAUAUUUAUAUCUUAAAAUGUGUGAGACCUUUAUUAUUUAUGAAACAAGUAAAAUAUUAUUAGAUGAUUAAUAAUAUUAGAUAAUAAAUAAAAUACUAUUAAAUGAUUAAUAAUAUUAGUAAAUGAUUUGAAUAUUAUUAAAUGAUUAAUAAUAUUAGAAUAUGAUUAAAAUAUUAUUAAAUGAUUAAUAAUAUUUGUAAACGAUUAGGAUACUACUAAGAAAUUGAAAAGUAAAUAAAAUAUUAUUAAAAGAUUAAUAAUAUUAGACGAGAAUUUAAGAUGAUGGUUAUGUGAUAAUAAUAUUAUCAAAUGACGAUAAUAUUACUAGUGAGUUGAAGAAUUAUUCAAUGUUUGAUUAUGUGGCUAAAUGUUAGCUAAUUUAUUAUUUGAGUAAUAGUGUUGUGAGAUAAAAUGUAUUAUGCUAAUUAGAGGGUCGAUCUUAUAAUUGAUAGGUCAUUCAUAAGAGAUUUAAUUAUACUGCUUAGCGGUAAUCGAUGGUCAAGGCAAGUCUCCUAACUCAAACUCGAGUUAUUAUGUUUCAAGCAUUCUAGUGGAUUAAUUAUUGACAAUUAUUCCUCAUCUUUGAUUAUUGAUUCGCACUUAGUGCAUGUUGCAUAUGUUCAUCAGGUAUGAAAGACUGAUCACCUUCAUUACCAUAAGGUUCAGUUAAAUUUAUUUAUGGUCAUUGUUGACCACUUAGCAUAAUUAUUCAGUUAUUCAAUUAUUGAAGUUUUGAUACAUGCUCUUUCAGAAUUGUAUUACAUUGUUAAAAACAUGAAAGCUUAUUCCUUUUCGAUAAUGAUAUAUCUUCAUUGUACUUAAACUUGCUGAGCAAAGUAGUUGCUCACCCUUGCAAUAUCAUGAAUAUAUUUCAGUUUAACCCGAAAGCUCAAAGAAAGACAAAGGCAAAGGAAAAGAUAGAGAUUAUUUUUAUAUGGACAUUUAUCUAUUAUGAUAACUGACGUAAAUUGAUGAUGUAAACCUUGUGAAUUAUUAAAGGUAUGUAUUAAGAUAAAGGUUGUAGACCUUGGGAAAUGUUACAGAACCAUUGUGUAAUAAACAAAUUAUGUUUAUAAUUCCACAUUAGUUUAUAGAAUAUGUAUGAAGAUGUUGUAUCGUGACACACCAGGUCCGGAGUUCAAGGGACCCAAAUUUGGGGGCGCUACAAUCAACCUACAAGUUUAAUCAUUAUGUUCUAAGUCCUUGUAUAAUAAUUUCUCAUUUAAGGACUACAAAAAAAUACUUAACAAUUAUAAAUUAAUGUAAACACAUCAUCAAAUUUAAACAUGCAUAUUCUAACUAACAUUAAAAAAACAAAAAGAAUGAACAAAUAACAACUAAUCAUUGGUGGCCCCACAUUAUAAUAAUGUUCGGAUACAGAAAAUGACCAAAUAAUAGUUAAUAAAAGUUGUCGACAGAACUGUUAUAGUUAACUGUUAAAAUGUCGACAAUAAAGGAACAGUAUUGCACAUUGUCACAACAGUAUUCGACAUUAUUAAACUAAUAAUUAUCACUGUAGCAAAGGUAAUAAUGGAAAGCUACGUAUUUAAAGGUCACAUGAACUGAAAAGUUAGACAAACUCAUUAAUACGUUAGGUAAAUAACAUUAUAUACAUAAAUAUCUAUGAUAUUAAUACAUUAAGCAAAUAAUAUAAAAGAUGAAAAAUAUAAUAAUAAUUAUGAAUAGUAAAGAAAAGGUAAUCUUGAAAUCUAAAAGUUGUGUCGAAAUUAUAUGUGGUAGAUUGAAGGUAAUCUUGAAAUGUGAAAGUUGUGCCAAAAUUUAUGUGGGGUAGAUUAAAGGUAAUCUUGAAAUGUUAAAAUUGUUGUAAAAUAAUGUGUUGUAGAUUAAAGAUAAUCUUGAAAUGCAAAAAGUGUGCUAAACUUAAUGUGUGAUAGAUGUUGAUUUAGCUUUGGCUAUAAAGGGGGGAGGGGUUUGACAUAAGGAGUUGGGAUAACCUUUUUACUUGUUCUUCCCUACUUUCUAAAUAUUUCUUAAUGUGAGUGUUUUUUUGAGUGUGCUAAGAAUACUUUGAAAGUAGUAUACCCUUAAACUAAUUACAUUGGAUGUGAUAAACAUUUACUUUAUAAUCUUAUUCAUUUAUUAAGAAAAGAAUUAAUUUAAUUAAAGACAUUCUUUAUCUAUAUUUAAUUGGGGAAUAAAUUAGGAUAAACACAUAAUUUUAGAGCAAUACUUUUAGAACUAUAAAGAGUUCAUGCUAAUGAGAUCUAAAUUUUAGAUAACUUUGAAACUAAAAUGUUCCUAAUCAUUGGUUCACUAAUGUGGGGUUACUGAUUCUGGAUAGAUUAGUACAUAUUAUGCUUGCUUUAUUGAAGAAGAUGAUUGAUCUCAUAAUCAUUAGUGUGAAGACACUAUAGUAAGUAUAUAAGUGCUUAUUGGAGAAUAAGCUCACGUAGUUCACUGAAUGUGACUCGUUUAAGGAACACAUAAUGGAGUUUUACUUGCCCGACAAUAGGAGUUCCUAUGUUGAUAGUAAUACAAGUGAUCCUUGGACUUGAGAUCAUCAUAGUACCUUGUAUAUUCUGAGUUAUAUUUUGUCAUAUUCCUUAAAACUCUUUGGGUAUAUCAAAAGGUAUAUUCGGGUAUAAUAAAGUAAACAUGGAGGUAGGUGAGUGAUCAACAAAGGAUCUACCACUUCUAGUAAAAGGAAGAAUAUGUUCUAUAUGAUUCGAUAGGUGACAACUCAGAAAUCCUUGGCCAAGGUGAAUGGAAAUUAGAAAGGAGUUUAUAAUUUACAUUAACUAGUUAUUCAUUUUGAAAUCGAAAUGCAUAUAAUUAAAUAAAUAAGAUAUGUAAGAACUUUCAUGUUUUAUGUUUGAUGGGGACAUUGUAUGGUUGAUGAAUUGAAUUGUACGGUAACUAUCCAUGGAAUAUGUUCUUUGUUAUUAAACGUUGAUUUCAUAUUAUCCAGAUAGUCAUGAUAUGCUGAGGUGUCACUCAUGAUGUAGAAUAAAUAUUAUUUAUUUAUAUUUGAAUUAAAAGAGUUUAAUUCAUUAUAAAUAAUAUUAGAAUGGUUCAAAUUUAUUUAUUCUACUAGCGGUAUAAUAUUGAACCUACAUUGUGACAACCCGAGAAUUUAGAAUAUUUUUAAAAUUAUUAUUAAUUGAUUUAAGGUUCAAAAUUAGAACCUAGAUAGAAAAUUAGUGUAUGCGUUUGAUAUUUUUAAGAUGGAAUUUUGAGUAUUUUAAAAUUCUGUGAAGGAUUUAGGUGAAUUAUUCAGGAUUAAGGAAAACGUGAUUAUGUUCUGUGUAUAUGUGUACAGUAUGUGGUUGAGGGUCAAGAGUUGACCAGAUAAUUGAUAUCUGUAACAAACCCUAAGUAUAUAUUAAGAACAUCAACGUUCGGUUAGAAAAUCCUAGCGAUUAACAAGAAACCCUAGAAACCGGUUCUGGAAACCCUACUUUCAGUUCCGGGAAUCCGAAGCCCUAAUUCGGUGCAUGAAACCCUAAAUCGGGAACUUAAUGGCGUAAGUGUAAAUAAUUACAGGAUUAAUUAGGGUUAAUCUUAACAAAUUGGUUACAAAAUCCUAAUUCCAAAUUUGAAACCUUAAUUAAGGAUUUGAAACCCUAAUUUGCAAAUAGGGAAAAAACCUAAGUGUUAAUUAAAUAGUUUUAAUGUUAAUUAGGAUAUAUUAAUUCUAAUUUUCAAGUUAAGUAAUUAGAAAACCCUAAUCUAAUUACGAAAUCUACUUUCUAAAUUAGGAAGUUAUUUUUCUAUUAGAAACCCUAAUUUUGGGUUAUAAACCCUAAUCCGUGAUUUUGACUCUAAUUGCUAAAUUAGUGAUUUUAAUUAGGAAAUACUAAUCCUAAUUAGCGAGAUUUAAAUUAUGAUUAAGAAAUUGUAAUAUAAUUAGGAAAUUCUAAUUCUAAUUUAGAAAUAUUAAUUUUCUAUUUUUGAAAACCUAAUUUGGAAAUUUUAGGAAAUAAAUUGCAAAUCCUAAACCCUAAAUGCUCCAAACCCUAAACCCUAAGGGUUUGGCAAAUUGUCUAGAAUGCCAUUAAAUUAAAAUGCCAAAUGACCCAUUUUCCCUUUUUGGAUUUUUAGUAAGGUAACUUGCAAAUCUUGGCAAGAUAUUGAGUUGGUGACCAACUUAAGAUAUCCCAUGUGCCAUAUAUCUCUCAUAUCAGCAGCUAUCUCAUCCUUAUACAUUGAAUCCAAUAUAUUAUUAGUAAGAAAUAAGUAAAGUAACUCACUUUACUUAACAUUUUUACCAAGACUUUCUCUCUCUAUAUUUUUCAAAAUUUUGAGAGAGAGUGAGACCAAAAGAUAACCUUGAUAAGUUCCUAACUUUCCUAGAUAAGUAUCAAAGGCCAGGAUCAAGAAUCAAAGGGUGAAAAAGGUAUGAACCCUAAUUUUCGAAAUCUCUUGAUUUUAUGUUUGAUGUUGUAAUUGAUUAGUUAGAUAUGUGUAAUAGAGUGUCUAUAAGUGAUCUGGGUUGAUAGAUCAUAGAUCUAUAACACUUAGAUGCACGAAUCAAGCAUUUUUAGAAAUCUGGAAAAAUGGGAAAAUUAUGACCUGACAGUCGAAUGUCAGACGCCAUAAAUCUUUAUGUGAUAGCGUUUUUGUAUGUUUUAUGUUUUGAAUGUGUUCUAUGUCAUAAUGACUAUGAUCUAAAACUGGAAUCAUGGUCGGAUCAAGUGUAGAUUGAAAGAUAUAAGCGGUCAAACCGCGUUGACCAGCCACGAAAUUUGGUUUCUGGGUUACCCAGAAACCCAGAAGUCAGUGACAUCGUUUUUGCAGGCCAUGAAUCUUUCUGUUGUUUGUUAGUUUGGCCAAGUUGUUAUUGGAAUGUUGUAGACUGGUAUAAGGACUACACACUCAUGCAUUUAGAUCACCUAAAUCCUUAACAGAAUCAAAAUAAUGAUGGUCAAAGUAUCGUUGACCAACUGUUCUUGACGAAAUCUGGAAAACCCAGAAAUCGUGAAGAACAGCUCCUGACAUCACUUUGACCAGCCUUAAUCUCUCACAUGUGAUGUUUAUUAGACUGAUAUGAGGUUAUGUAGUCGUACCCUGACAUGUUUUCUACAAAAUAGAACCUUUAGUUCACACGAACAAGCUACAUAAUGCAAGGUAGAAGGAUCGAAAGGUAGUCACUUGGAUUGUUCUUCAUUUCUGGGUAACCUAGAAAAUGAAGAACAGGUUUGACACGAUUUGUAAUGGCUUAGAUGUCUCUGUUGUUAUGUUGUUUAGCUAUGAACUCGAGUUAGAAUUGUAGUAUUACACACAUACUACACUUAUGAUACCAUUAGCUACCUAGAAAAUAGCAUGAAAAUGAAUUUAAUGUUGGUCAAACCUCAUACCUUGUUCACUGACUUGAAGAUCUGGGCAGGCAUCAAGAACACCAAGAACACCUAUAGCGACGGUUCUGUCGCUAUAGGGCCCUUUAGUGACAGUUUUAAUUUCUAAUUUCCAGAAAUUAUUAAAUAAAUUAAAAUAAAUAGAUUUUAAUUAUUAAAAAUACAUAAUAAAUUCUGAAAAAUUAUUUUAAAUUCUAAAAAAUAGUUUUUAAUUAUUUUAAGUAUAUUUCAUAAAUAUUUAAUAUUUUUGGAAUAUAAAUGAUAUUUAAUUUAUUUAAUUAUAAUAUUAAAUAAAUUAAAAUUGAUUUUAAUACAUGAAAAAUCAUGAAAAAUUAGAUUAUGAUAUUAUAAAAAUAUUUUAAGUUAUUUUUGAUGACUUUUAAUAUUUUGUGAUGAAAUUAAUUAAUUAAUCAAUAUUAAUGGUAAUUAGUUUAUUUAAUAAAUAUAUUAAAUAAAUUAAGGAAAAAUAGAAUUAAUGGUUUAUAAAUCAUAUAAAAAUGAUUUAAGUAUUAUAAAAAUAUUUUAAGUUAUAACUUGUAACUUUUGAUAUUUUGCCAUGAAAAUAUUAAUAUUUUAAUAUUAAUAGCAAUUAUCGGAUAAUGAAUUUAAGUGUUUAAAAAUCAUAUUUAAAUGAUUUUAAAGUAUUAAAAAUACUUUGUGAUAUUAUAAAUAUAUUAUAAUAUCAUGACAUGUAUUUCGUUAAUAUUUGAUAAUAAAUAAAUAUUAAUGAUAAAAGAAUUAUGUGGUAUUUAAUUCAUUUAAAUACGAUUUUAAUGAUUGAAAAUACGAGAUAAAUAGUUAUAAUUAUUUAAAAAUUAUUAUAAGUCUUUGGAAAAUAUUUCGACUAUUAUUAAAAUUAUCUGAGAUAAUUGUUAAGUGUUAAUUCAGAGUUUAAUUGAACUUAGACUCGAAAUUUUGUCCGACUAGACCGUCGGGAUGUUUGAAUUGUGUCGGGUUCAACUCAGACUGCAAUAGUUUGACUUGAUACCGAGUCUUAUCUGUGUUGUAAACUAAUAGGGUUAUGUGUUAUGUGUUAUGUGUUUAGGUUAUUCUGUGUAUAUCUAUAUAUAUAAUAGUAUUAUAUCGUGAUGAUAUUAUUCUAAUAUUGGAGAUCUAUAUACUAAUAUUAGGUCUUCGGAUAAGGCGAUAUAAAUUGCGUAGCGGUAAUCAACGGUUCAGGCAAGUUUGUUUUACUUAACUCUAUUAAGAGUGUUUUAUUCGGAUAAGCUUAUGGUUAAUCAUUGCUGAUUGCCAUGAAUUGUACUCUGUACAUAUUGCAUGUAUAAGUCAGGUAUGAAAGGCUGAUCACCUUCAUUACUAGUUGUUUCAGAUAUAUUUGUUCAUGUAUAAUACUUGUUCAGUCAUAAAUUUGUUCCUGCUAGUUCAAAAUUAUAUUGUUGAAAUAUAGCCAGCCAAUUAUUUAAAUCAUUUCAAUCAUAAUAUAUCGUUAUAUUGUUGAAUUUAAACUUGCUGGGCAACUUUCAUGUUCACCCUUGCUAUAUCAUGUUAAAACAUUGCAGAUUAAGACGAACGCGUCGGAUACAAGGAAAGGUCCAAGACAGUUCCAGCUUUAGUUUACGUUUGUAGUUAGAAUUGUAAUAGUAUGAUAUUAAUGUUGUUAUAUGUUAGAAAAGUUAUGAAUUAUGUAUAAGUUAAGGUUACUCGACCUUGGGGAUUAUGUGUAAGUUUAAUGUAUAAACAAUUUAUGUUUAUAUCUUCCGCAAAUAUAGUAAUAGUUGUAUAGAAUGAUCGAACCAGAUCCGAGGUGAAUUAGGACCUGGAUUCGGGGCCGUCACAUACAUCAUGUGCCUAAUUUAAUACUCCCUCCAUCCCAAAAUAAUAGACGUUUUAGGGUGUAUUUUUUCCCCAAAAUAUCUGACGUUCUACCAUCCCAAGAAUAUUUUGGCAUUUAUUUUCCCUCUCUACCCUUCCUUCUCUACCACCUAUUUUUUCUGGAAUUCAGUCCAUUCUUCACACCUCAAAAAAAUCCAGUGAAAAAGUGAGAGAGCUAGGGUUCACUUUCUUCUUCUUCUUCAAGGUUUUUGAGAUCCGGCAACAACAAUGAUUUGAGAAUCCAUCUCCGGCGAUCGAUCACACUAUAUUUAAUGGAGAUCCGAAAACAAUAAUGCAGAUCGAUCAAUGGAGUAAAAGCUCGAUUUGAUCUUUUUCAACCCACAAGUCUGCGGCGAUCGAUCGGACUAUAUUUAAUGGAGAUCCGGCAACAACAAUGAUCUGAGAAUCCAUCUCUGGCGAUCAGACUCACUUUAAUGGAAAUGAUCUGAGAAUCCAUCCCCGGCGAAAUUCAUCAUCUUCUUCUUCUUUUCGGACAGCUUUCUUGUAUCUCCGUCGGUGACGGUUUCAGAGGUGACCGGCUUCUGGCGGGUGCUACCAGCGAGUGAAUUCUGUGGGUCGGAAUCGGAUGGUUGUAGCCUUGUUAUUUCAGAG
rnacentral:lncRNA from 1 species